UGAGGAAUAUUGGUCAAUGGUCGAGAGACUGAACCAGCCAAGUCGCGUGAAGGAUGACUGCCCUAUGGGUUGUAAACUUCUUUUACAAGGGAAUAAAAUGAGAUACGUGUAUUUUAUUGCAUGUACCUUGGGAAUAAGCAUCGGCUAACUCCGUGCCAGCAGCCGCGGUAAUACGGAGGAUGCGAGCGUUAUCCGGAUUUAUUGGGUUUAAAGGGUGCGUAGGUGGGCUGUUAAGUCAGCGGUGAAAGUUUGUCGCUUAACGAUAAAAUUGCCGUUGAAACUGGUAGUCUUGAGUAUAGAUGAAGUAGGCGGAAUGCGUGGUGUAGCGGUGAAAUGCAUAGAGAUCACGCAGAACUCCGAUUGCGAAGGCAGCUUACUAAGGUAUAACUAACACUGAAGCACGAAAGCGUGGGUAUCAAACAGG
rnacentral:rRNA from 1 species